AGCAGCCGCAGUAAUUCCAGCGCCAAUAGCGUAUAUUAAAGUUGUUGCAGUUAAAAAGCUCGUAGUUGAAUUUCGGGAUCAGUACACUGGUCGUGCCUUCGGUACGUACUGGUGUCACUGGUUUCUACCUUCUGACGAACCGUCAUGUCAUUAAUUUGGUGUGGCGGGGAAUCAGGACUGUUACUUUGAAAAAAUUAGAGUGUUUAAAGCAGGCUCGCGCUUGAAUACAUUAGCAUGGAAUAAUGAAAUAGGACGUUCGAUCCUAUUUUGUUGGUUUCUAGGAUUGACGUA
rnacentral:rRNA from 1 species